GACGAACGCUGGCGGCGUGCUUAACACAUGCAAGUCGAACGGUAAGGCCCUUUCGGGGGUACACGAGUGGCGAACGGGUGAGUAACACGUGGGUGAUCUGCCCUGCACUUUGGGAUAAGCCUGGGAAACUGGGUCUAAUACCGGAUAGGACUACGCGAUGCAUGUCGUGUGGUGGAAAGCUUUUGCGGUGUGGGAUGGGCCCGCGGCCUAUCAGCUUGUUGGUGGGGUGAUGGCCUACCAAGGCGACGACGGGUAGCCGGCCUGAGAGGGUGUCCGGCCACACUGGGACUGAGAUACGGCCCAGACUCCUACGGGAGGCAGCAGUAGGGAAUAUUGCACAAUGGGCGCAAGCCUGAUGCAGCGACGCCGCGUGGGGGAUGACGGCCUUCGGGUUGUAAACCCCUUUCAGCACAGACGAAGCGUAAGUGACGGUAUGUGCAGAAGAAGCACCGGCCAACUACGUG
rnacentral:rRNA from 1 species